UCACCCCUCAAGCCCCGUGCUUGGUGUUGGAUGGCCGGUCGAGCGAUCGACCCCUCCGAAAGACAAUGACGGCGGCCUGUGGUUCCCCCGGUACACUGAGCUUCUUACCGAGCACGUACUGGACAAGGGCACCCGGGACCCGGUCCUCUCCUUUAGCUAGGAAACUUUUUAAU
rnacentral:misc_RNA from 1 species